GAAUUCCUUACAGCAAUUGACAUUUUCCCUCCCAAAGAAAAAAACUGAAUUCUG
rfam:Dictyostelium purpureum unplaced genomic scaffold DICPTscaffold_243, whole genome shotgun sequence